UGCUUAACACAUGCAAGUCGAACGGCAGCACAGUUGUAGCAAUACAAUGGGUGGCGAGUGGCGGACGGGUGAGUAAUACAUAGGAAUCUGCCUUGUAGUGGGGGAUAACCCGGGGAAACUCGGGCUAAUACCGCAUAAUCUUUACGAAGCAAAGUGGGGGACCGUAAGGCCUUACGCUAUAAGAUGAGCCUAUGUCGGAUUAGCUAGUUGGUGGGGUAAAGGCCUACCAAGGCAACGAUCCGUAGCUGGUCUGAGAGGAUGAUCAGCCACACUGGAACUGAGACACGGUCCAGACUCCUACGGGAGGCAGCAGUGGGGAAUAUUGGACAAUGGGCGAAAGCCUGAUCCUAGCAAUGCCGUGUGUGUGAAGAAGGCCUUCGGGUUGUAAAGCUC
rnacentral:rRNA from 1 species